rnacentral:rRNA from 1 species
CAGCCGCGCGGGAAUACCAGCACCUCGAGUGGUCAGGAGGUUUAUUGGGCCUAAAGCAUCCGUAGCCGGUUGCAUAAGUUUUCGGUUAAAUCUAUGCGCUUAACGUAUAGGCCGCCGAAAAUACUGUGCAGCUAGGGAGUGGGAGAGGUACACGGUACUCGAUAGGAAGGGGUAAAAUCCUUUGAUCUAUUGAUGACCACCUGUGGCGAAGGCGGUGUACCAGAACACGUUCGACGGUGAGGGAUGAAAGCUGGGGGAGCAAACCGGAUUAGAUACCCGCGUAGUCCCUGUCUCUUAUACA